rfam:Fusarium oxysporum f. sp. cubense tropical race 4 54006 unplaced genomic scaffold supercont1.16, whole genome shotgun sequence.
GGCUUCUUGGUCUAGAGGUAUGAUUCUCGCUUUGGGUGCGAGAGGUCCCGGGUUCAAUCCCCGGAGGAGCCC